UACGUAGGGUGCAAGCGUUGUCCGGAAUGAUUGGGCGUAAAGCGUCUGUAGGUGGCUUUUUAAGUCCGCCGUCAAAUCCCAGGGCUCAACCCUGGACAGGCGGUGGAAACUACCAAGCUGGAGUACGGUAGGGGCAGAGGGAAUUUCCGGUGGAGCGGUGAAAUGCGUAGAGAUCGGGAGGAACACCUGUGGCGAAGGCGGCCCCCUGGGCCGCGCCUGACGCUCAUGCACGAAAGCGUGGGGAGCAACAGG
rnacentral:rRNA from 1 species